rnacentral:rRNA from 2 species
GCCGGAGGGAAACCGAGUCUUAAUUGGGCGUUAAGUUGCAGGGUAUAGACCCGAAACCCGGUGAUCUAGCCAUGGGCAGGUUGAAGGUUGGGUAACACUAACUGGAGGACCGAACCGACUAAUGUUGAAAAAUUAGCGGAUGACCUGUGGCUGGGGGUGAAAGGCCAAUCAAACCGGGAGAUAGCUGGUUCUCCCCGAAAGCUAUUUAGGUAGCGCCUCGUGAAUUCAUCUCCGGGGGUAGAGCACUGUUUCGGCUAGGGGGCCAUCCCGGCUUACCAACCCGAUGCAAACUGCGAAUACCGGAGAAUGUUAUCACGGGAGACACACGGCGGGUGCUAACGUCCGUCGUGAAGAGGGAAACAACCCAGACCGCCAGCUAAGGUCCCAAAGUCAUGGUUAAGUGGGAAACGAUGUGGGAAGGCCCAGACAGCCAGGAUGUUGGCUUAGAAGCAGCCAUCAUUUAAAGAAAGCGUAAUAGCUCACUGGUCGAGUCGGCCUGCGCGGAAGAUGUAACGGGGCUAAACCAUGCACCGAAGCUGCGGCAGCGACGCUUAUGCGU